AGCUGCGAUGGAGCGCGCCUUGGCUCACUGGCCUGGCGCAGCUCCUCCGAAGAGUCGGGGCGCCCACGCAAGCCUGCCUCGCUCGGGUCUCUUUGGAGAUGACAUCACGGACUCACCCCUUCCUCGAGGACCACCUACCCUGGAUACCAAGCUGCUUCCGGUUGCCUGCCGCCCUCUCCUCACGGUCCUCAUUUGCAUAUGGCCCAGGACAUCAGCAGCCUACAAGUACACACCAGCAAGUCCCAGGUCCAGCCUCUGGAAGGACAACAUGGAGACGCCAGGAACGGACCAGCAACUGUCCCACGGGACUAAAGAUUUAACACCAGUGCCCUAGUGAGGGGGCACUGGGCCUUCCCCCACCUUGGCCCUGCCUGUGGCUUGACUCUGCCUCCUGCCCUGUGUGUACCUGCUCGGGAGCCUGCUGGCCAACUGGUGCUUCCCUCCCCUGGGGGUGUCAGUCUUCCCUGACUGCCAACAUACACUGUUUUAGUGGAGGGUCCCUCUGGGGAUUUCUCAGGAGGGAGACCUGGGCCAAGAGCCUGUGGUGGGCUUCUGGAAUGAGCAUGUGCCUGACUGCCAAAGGCAUGCCCCCCUCCCAGGACCUCCCUGUCCUUUCUCGAGGAGCAGGGAUGCCAGGGGCGACCUCCUAGGUGGUUGUGAGAAUUAAAUGAUCAAAAAAAAAAAAAAAUUAAAUGAUCUAAAGCAACUUGGAUCUAGGGGGGCACAGAGGAGGCGGUCAGCAAAUGUUUGUUGAAGCAUCUGCCAGGUUUGUCCUGUCGCACUGUGCUCCAUCUUACUUGUCUUCCUUGUUCUCCCACAGACUCCCGACAGCCCCCCCUGAGGGGCUCUCCUUGCAUCGGGCAGGGGUGCCACAGGGACACCAGCCAGAGGGCAGACUUGAGUAAGAUCAUGAAUUAUGCACACACUCAUUUCCAGGGCACUUUCUACACAACAUGAGCGCGCAGUUCCUGCAGGAUCUCCACAUGUCUCCAGGUGUUCUUGCUUGCAGGCCAGGGUGAAUUUGGUCUUGCUUUGCUUAAUCUGGAAAAGGUAGGCGGGACACAGGCUCUUAGCCACAGGUCCAUGGGACGGUUUGCACACACAUUUAUGGAGAAAGCGAAAGGGGACCAGUGUCAGUGUUUUGUCCAACCCCAGCGAGAGGAGGGGUCAGAGUUGGGCCCUGGGUGCUGUCAAAGCUGCAGGUGACCCUCCUGGCCCCUGGCCUGGAGUUCUUAUAUUUCCAUUCAAACAUUUAAAGUGGGGCAGCUUGUCUGAAAUCCCAGCUGUCCAGGGUGGUUUUGGGGGCCUAGGUGGCCCCAGAGCAGCUUCAUGUGCUAGGUCCACCUCUUAACAACAGUGUGACCUUUGAUAAGUCCCUAAAUUUCUCCUUUCCGUGGCCUAAGUGGGGAUUAAAAACCCCAAUCCUGGUUUAUCUACCCCACAGGGCGCUUUUGAAGGCCAAAUGAAGUAACUGCUAGGAAAGUGCUUUGUAAAUUGCUGUGGAAAUCGCAGGACACAUAUCCCUGGCUGUCCCUUGGUGGCCCCUGCCCGGCCCUCUGCCCCUUUCCCAAUCAGUCUGUGCCCAGUAGGUUCUCUGGGUGUUUGCACUCCACAAAUAAAUUUCAGAAUCAAUAAAAAUGGAAUCAAUUCAGCAAACAUUUCCUGAGAUGCUGACAAUAUGCCUCACGUGCCAGGCUAGGUAUGGGCUCCAAAGAUAAUGAAAACAAUGUCUUGCAAGCUAAUUGGGGUCCUCAUUUGGCCAGUACUUUUCUUUGGUCUCCUUUUAAGCCAACCAGUUUUGUCCGGACAAGACAAAAAAGACUCUGGGCUGCCUUGGAGAAGCGCAGCUUGUGUGCACAAUAGCUGCCCAGCCUCUGAAAAGGCCUGAUUGGAUUAGGGGGCAAACGGAGGCGGGAGGGUGGCUUGGAAGGUAACAAAUAAAGUGGGCGGGGCCUCGCUUUGAGUUAAUUCAGGCUAUUGGGGGGCACCUUUUGUCUUUCAGAGACAGGCAGAAGCUUUUACGUCUGGUUUUUAUGUCCUGAACACUCAGGACAUGCAGUUCCCUGCUGGAGACCAUCCGGGGCUCAGGGAUAGUACAGUCUAGUGGGCUGCGGGAUGGAGGGGCUGUUUGCAGUGAGUGGCAUCUGCAGUGAGUGGUGGCGGUGAGGGUUGGGUCUCCUUUUGCAUUGUCCAUGCAUUUGAUCCUCACAACUCCUAUCCUGACCCAGGGCCGGCCUGUCACCACCCAGGGACACAGAGGCUGUCAAGUGGCUCCACCGAUCUGGCUCCCGUGUCCCCAGUGCCUUCGAUCCAACAGUAGACCUGAACCUGUCUCCGGCUUGCACCUCCAUCUCUGCCUCCUCCUUGCCUGGACUCUGCUCUCCCUGAGGCCUGAGUCCCGGGCCCUCCUGUCCUUCUCUCGCCACUCCAGUCUCUCUCUUUCCUUCGCAGCUCAGCUUCUCCAGGAGCCCUGUCUGCACCGCUUUCCUUCUUCACCUCCAUCUUCUCUUCAACCCAUGUCUCCGCCCGCUCUGCUCCACUCGCCAGUCUCGUCCAGCUGGCCUUAUCUACUGUGGCCGUGACUGGCUGCUCUGGCUGAAGGACAUUGGACGGCAUUAACAGGACCCUGAGGAGCCACUGCCCAGGACUUCCUUCUCCAUGAAGAGCCGCUCACCCACGUGGUCUGGGCAGAAUCCACCGGCGCCGGGAACCCUGCGAGGGACAGGACCACAGACACCGACUCAGCACCCCAGUGCUCCCCCAGCUCUGACUUCCUUCACAGCCACGGGGACACCCUGCGCACAUUCCCACAGGACAGGCUGGACCCAAAGAUUCUGGACCAGGCCUCCCCUUGAGUACAGAGGCGCCCUCUGACUGAUGGACUGCGCCGAUCCGGGGGUCAGCCACCUCCCCCUGAAUGCUGAGACUUGGGGGAGCUGCAGAACCUGCACUGCCCGCCUCUGUGGAGUAGGCGGGGACACCUUCCUCCAGGCACAGGGCUGCUCUGAGGCCCUGGACACGGUUCCGAAGCACCAGGCUGGGCUCAGCCUCUCAUGCUGUCAAUAAAUG